AUUGAACGCCGGCGGCGUGCUUAACACAUGCAAGUCGAUCGGUAACAGGUGUAGCAAUACAUGCUGACGAGAGGCGGACGGGUGAGGAAUAUUUGGGAAUCUGCCCAUCAGCGGGGGACAACCCGGGGAAACCCGGGCUAAUACCGCAUACGCUCUACGGAGGAAAGUCGGGGACCGCAAGGCCUGGCACUGAUGGAUGAGCCCAAAUCGGAUUAGCUAGUUGGCGGGGUAACGGCCCACCAAGGCGACGAUCCGUAGCUGGUCUGAGGGGACGAUCAGCCACACCGGAACUAAGACACGGGCCGGACUCCUACGGGAGGCAGCAGUGGGGAAUAUUGGACAAUGGGGGAAACCCUGCUCCAGCGACGCCGCGUGGGUGAAGAAGGCCUGCGGGUUGUAAAGCCCUUUCGGUAGGGACGAAAGCUCCUGCUCUAAUAAUGCAGGAGGUUGACUUAACCUACAUAAGAAGCACCGGCUAACUCUGUGCCAGCCGCCGCAGUAAAAC
rnacentral:rRNA from 1 species